rnacentral:rRNA from 1 species
UACGUAGGAGACUAGCGUUGUCCGGAAUUACUGGGCGUAAAGCGUGCGCAGGCGGUUGUGCAAGACAGAUGUGAAAUCCCCGGGCUCAACCUGGGAAUUGCAUUUUGUGACUGCACGGCUAGAGUGUGUCAGAGGGGGGUAGAAUUCCACGUGUAGCAGUGAAAUGCGUAGAGAUGUGGAGGAAUACCGAUGGCGAAGGCAGCCCCCUGGGAUAACACUGACGCUCAUGCACCGAAAGCGUGGGGAGAAACAGG